UAUUAUUUAAAUUGUAAAUUAAUUAAAUUGAGUAGUAUUAGUUAUGUUCUUUAAACUUAAUAAAUUUGGCGGUAUUUUAAUCUAUUCAGAGGAACUUGUUUUAUAAUUGAUAAUCCUCAUUAAAUCUUACUUAAUUUUAUUAAGUUUGUAUAUCGUCGUCAUAAGAAUUUCUUAAAAAAGUAAUAAUUUUCUAAAAUUUUUAUUUUAAAUAAUGUCAGAUAAAGGUGCAGCUUAUAAUUAAGAAAAAAUGAGUUAUAAUAAAAUUAUUUAAGUUGGAUAUAAUAAUUAAAUUUAUUAUUGAAAUUAGAUUUGAUAGUAAAUUAAUUUAUAAAAUUUAAUUGAUUUUAGUUCUAAAAUAUGUACAUAUUGCCCG
rnacentral:rRNA from 1 species